rnacentral:rRNA from 1 species
CCUACGGGAGGCUGCAGUGAGGAAUAUUGGUCAAUGGGCGGAAGCCUGAACCAGCCAAGUCGCGUGAGGGAAUAAGGCCCUACGGGUCGUAAACCUCUUUUGCCGGGGAGCAAGGGCGGGGACGUGUCCCGGCCCGGAGAGUACCCGGAGAAAAAGCAUCGGCUAACUCCGUGCCAGCAGCCGCGGUAAUACGUAGGGGGCAAGCGUUGUUCGGGAAGACUGGGCGUAAAGGGUGUGUCGGCGGUGUAGCAAGUUAGAUGUGAAAUACCUAGGGCUGAACUCAGGUGCUGCUUCUAAAACUGGUAUACUGGAGUGCAGUAGAGGAAAGUGGAAUUCCUAGUGUAGCGGUGGAAUGCGUAGAUAUUAGGAGGAACAUCAGUGGCGAAGGCGACUUUCUGGACUGUAACUGACGCUGAGGCACGAAAGUGUGGGUAGCAAACAGGAUUAGAUACCCUGGUAGUC